ensembl:misc_RNA Metazoa_SRP Metazoan signal recognition particle RNA
GCCAGGCAUGGUGGCGUGUGCCUGUAAUCCCAGCUACUCAGGAGGCUGAGGCAUUAGAAUCGCUUGAACCCAGGAGGCUGAGGUUGCAGUGAGCUGAGAUUGGGCUACUGCACUCCAGCCUGGGUGACAGAGCAAGACUCUGUCUCAA